rnacentral:rRNA from 1 species
CCUACGGGGGGCAGCAGUGGGGAAUAUUGGACAAUGGGGGAAACCCUGAUCCAGCGACGCCGCGUGAGUGAUGAAGUCUUUCGGUACGUAAAGCUCUAUUAGCAGGAAAGAAAAUGACGGUACCUGACUAAGACGCCCCGGCUAACUACGUGCCAGCAGCCGCGGUCAUACGUAGGGGGCACGCGUUAUCCGGAUUUACUGGGUGUAAAGGGGGCGUAGACGGCAGGGCAAGUCCGGAGGGAAGUGCCGGGGCCCAACCCCGGAACUGCGCUGGAAACUGUGAGGCUGGAGUGCAGGAGGGGUAAGCGGAAUUCCUGGUGUAGCGGUGAAAUGCGUAGAUAUCAGGAGGAACACCGGCGGCGAAGGCGGCUUACUGGACUGUAACUGACGUUGAGGCUCGAAGGCGUGGGGAGCAAACAGGAUUAGAUACCCUUGUAGUC